AGGCGAAACCUCCCGAGAGGAGGUCGUCGCGGGAGGCUCCCGCGGCCUGAAGAGCCAGCCAGUA
rnacentral:hammerhead_ribozyme from 1 species